CCUACGGGGCGCUGCAGUGAGGAAUAUUGGUCAAUGGGCGCGAGCCUGAACCAGCCAAGUAGCGUGAAGGAUGACUGCCCUACGGGUUGUAAACUUCUUUUAUAAGGGAAUAAAGUGUGGGACGUGUCCUGUUUUGUAUGUACCUUAUGAAUAAGGAUCGGCUAACUCCGUUCCAGCAGCCGCGGUAAUACGGAGGGUCCGAGCGUUAUCCGGAUUUAUUGGGUUUAAGGGUUGCGUAGGCGGCCUUUUAAGUCAGCGGUGAAAGUCUGUGGCUCAACCAGAGAAUUGCCGUUGAAACUGGGAGGCUUGAGUAUGUUUGAGGCAGGCGGAAUGCGUGGUGUAGCGGUGAAAUGCUUAGAUAUCACGCAGAACCCCGAUUGCGAAGGCAGCCUGCCAAGCCAUGACUGACGCUGAUGCACGAAAGCGUGGGGAUCAAACAGGAUUAGAUACCCCUGUAGUC
rnacentral:rRNA from 1 species